ACCUUCUCAAAUAUGCUGUAGUUUCAUAUCCAAUAUUUCAAAAGUGAGGUUGAUCCCAAUGGAAUCAAUUGGAAAGGUGUUUCAAAUGAUGUAAGAAAUGGUUAUUUUGGAGAAUUUAAGAAAAAGUUCUGCUGGGAUGUUUCCAUUAGUGAAAACGAACUCAAAACACAAUGGAUGGUUAAGGCAGCAUUGAAUUAUAUAAAUUUCAUUUCUAAAAUUAAAAAAAAGGAGGAGUUAGGCCAGGUUACGUACCACAAGAUGUGUGGGAAAGAUGGAUGGAGCUUUGGGGAAGUGCAGAGUCUAUUAGAACCGUCGUGAAACUGCUGUUGGGACUUACACUGGUGGCUCUAUUUCUAUCGAAGAACAUUGCAAGAAACUUGCUAUUGAAAAAGGCCGAGAUCCCACGCCAAGUGAGUUACAUCUGCAUGUUUAUACACAUGGACAUGAUGGAAAAACAUUUGUUGGUGAGCGUUCUCGAGGUAUCCAUGUAAGUCUAAAACUUGGAGGUGUUUCGGUUCUUUCCUACUACUGUUUAUGGUGCUUUUUUUUACUGUUCUAAAGUGUAUUUGUUGUCGCUGUUUGGUAUAAUUCUAAUGAUGUUUUGAGACUUUUCGAUAUGAUUCUAGUAUCGUUUUAGAGAGAAACUACUUCUAUUGUUUUAAGGCUUUUCUGGUGCAAUUUUUUACUUUUUUUUUGGGUGUGAUAGUACUGUUGUUUUACUGUGACUCUAGCGUCCAAAAGUCACUCACUGAUGAACUUAGCGAGUGUUGGGGUGGGGUGAUGGGGAGGGGGAUUUCCCUGAUAGUUAGUUGUCAUAGUCUGUGUGAUACUGUAAUAAGAGAUAACUCUCUUGACAUGAUAUUCUCUUGGUGUGGAUGCUGUAAGCAAUUACUUGGCUACCUACUGUUUAUUACCACUGACACAACAACUGCUACACUAGAUAAAGCUAUUGAUAUGUUCUCUUAGAAGGUAUGCAAAAUUCUAGACAAAUGGUGCACACAUCUAUGAAUUCCAUUCUAGUCAACUUGUGAUGUUUUUUCAUUUCUAUCAGUUUGCUCAGUUUCAAAGGGAUGCCUUAUCCUGCACUCACAUAUACUACUUUAUCUUUGUAAUGAGUAGAUGAUAUAUUUUAAAGAAUCAUAUGGAAUAGUACCAUAUUUAACUGAAAGGGACAUCUUUAUUCUUAGUGUCUCUGCCAC